rnacentral:rRNA from 1 species
UACGGAGGAUCCGAGCGUUAUCCGGAUUUAUUGGGUUUAAAGGGUGCGCAGGCGGGAGAUUAAGUCGGCGGUGAAAUUUUGCAGCUCAACUGUAAAAGUGCCUUCGAAACUGGUUUCCUUGAGUGUAGAUGAAGUAGGCGGAAUUUGUGGUGUAGCGGUGAAAUGCUUAGAGAUUACACAGAACACCGAUUGCGAAGGCAGCUCACAAAGCUAUUUCUGACGCUGAGGCACGAAAGCGUGGGGAGCAAACAGGAUUAGAUACCCUGGUAGU